UGGACGUCGACCGGCGCACGGGUGAGUAUCGCGUAUCCAACCUGCCCCUUACUUGGGGAUACCCCGUUGAAAGACGGCCUAAUACCCGAUGUGUUUCAUUGACGGCAUCCGAUAUGAAACAAAGGUUUUCCGGUAAGGGAUGGGGAUGCGUCUGAUUAGCUAGUUGGCGGGGCAACGGCCCACCAAGGCGACGAUCAGUAGGGGUUCUGAGAGGAAGGUCCCCCACAUUGGAACUGAGACACGGUCCAAACUCCUACGGGAGGCAGCAGUGAGGAAUAUUGGUCAAUGGACGCAAGUCUGAACCAGCCAAGUAGCGUGCAGGAUGACGGCCCUAUGGGUUGUAAACUGCUUUUAUGUGGGAAUAAAUUGGCGCACGUGUGC
rnacentral:rRNA from 1 species